rnacentral:rRNA from 1 species
AACGAACGCUGGCGGCAGGCCUAACACAUGCAAGUCGAGCGCCCCGCAAGGGGAGCGGCAGACGGGUGAGUAACGCGUGGGAAUCUACCCAUCUCUACGGAAUAACGCAAGGAAACGCGUGCUAAUACCGUACACGUCCUUCGGCAGAAAGAUUUAUCGGAGAUGGAUGAGCCCGCGUUGGAUUAGCUUGUUGGUGGGGUAAAGGCAUACCAAGGUGACGAUCCGUAGCUGGACCGCGAGGAUGAUCAGCCACACUGGGACUGAGACACGGCCCAGACUCCUACGGACGGCAGCGGUGGGGGAGAGUGAACAAUGGGCGCAAGCCUGAUCCUGCCAUGCCACGUGAGUGAGGGAGGCCCUAGGGUUGUAGAGCUCUUUCACCGGUGAAGAUAAUGACGGUAACCGGAGAAGAAGCGCCGGCUAACUUCGUGCCGGCCGCCGCAGUAAUAC